rnacentral:rRNA from 1 species
AGAGUUUGAUCCUGGCUCAGAACGAACGCUGGCGGCAUGCCUAACACAUGCAAGUCGAACGAGGGCUUCGGCCCUAGAUGGCGCACGGGUGAGUAACACGUGGGAACCUACCUUUCGGUUCGGGAUAACGUCUGGAAACGGACGCUAACACCGGAUACGCCCCCCCAGCGAUGGGGCGGGGAAAAGGAAUGCCGAGAGAGGGGCCCGCGUCCGAUUAGGUAGUUGGCGGGGUAACGGCCCACCAAGCCGACGAUCGGUAGCUGGUCUGAGAGGAUGAUCAGCCACACUGGGACUGAGACACGGCCCAGACUCCUACGGGAGGCAGCAGUGGGGAAUAUUGGACAAUGGGGGCAACCCUGAUCCAGCAAUGCCGCGUGAGCGAUGAAGGCCUUCGGGUUGUAAAGCUCUUUCGCACGCGACGAUGAUGACGGUAGCGUGAGAAGAAGCCCCGGCUAACUUCGUGCCAGCAGCCGCGGUAAUACGAAGGGGGCUAGCGUUGUUCGGAAUCACUGGGCGUAAAGGGCGCGUAGGCGGCUUUGUAAGUCGGGGGUGAAAGCCUGUGGCUCAACCACAGAAUUGCCUUCGAUACUGCAUGGCUUGAGACCGGAAGAGGUUAGUGGAACUGCGAGUGUAGAGGCGAAAUUC